rnacentral:rRNA from 1 species
UACGGGGGGGGGCAAGCGUUGUUCGGAAUUACUGGGCGUAAAGGGCGCGUAGGCGGUUUGCUAAGUUGAAUGUGAAAACUCUGGGCUUAACCCAGAGCCUGCAUUCAAUACUGGCAGGCUAGAGUUCUGGAGGGGAUAGCGGAAUUCCUGGUGUAGCGGUGAAAUGCGUAGAUAUCAGGAGGAACCAGCCGGUGGCGAAGGCAGCCCCCUGGGUCAAGAUUG